UUACCUGAGGAGGGUCUGCUGAAGCCACUGUCUUCUCUCCCAGUUUCCGCUUCAAGAGAUUGACAUGGAAAACAGGGUGUAUUUGAGCAGUUUCUGGGAAGUCUGCCGAUAUGGUUGCAGUUUCAGUUUGCUAAUGCCAGGAAAUUAGGCUCUGUAUACCAAUUGUUAUGAACUGAGGAGAAUAGA